AUAACAAAAAAAAACAACAGGUCGUGUCGAAUCGAGGAGGCGACGGCGGCGGCGGCGCCCGUUGACCGCCGACCGGCGUGCGGCUCCGAUUGAUGGAUGUGUGGGACAGUGGGAGUGGCCUACAGGGGGCAUUUCGCGAUUUCAUCUCAUGUCCCACUGACAUGUGGGCCCUGACAACGGCCCGGGGAUUAUCCCCUCCGGAUAUGUCCACCGCAUGUCCACAUCCCGCGCGUCCGCGGCGGAGGAACCAGCCGGACUGCCGGAGCGGCCUCCGCUCUCCAGUCUCCUCGCCUCGUCGCGUCGGAGGCGCCCGCGGCCACCGGGGACUCUUCGGCGCGUGGAGGAUGCACCUGAGGCCCGCCUUCCCUCCCCUGUCUCUCCGCGGUGAGCUGCAUGCUUGGGAUGAGGCCGAACCCGCAACCUCUGUCCCCACCUCCUCGUGGGUCUUGGUGACCUGCAAAGAGGGAUGCAGUGGCCUCCAUCCCAUCCUGCCGCAGCAGCAUCCCCAUUGUAGGUGGGGAAACGUUGGCGCCGGCGCGUGAGGCUGUCCUUGAUGAGUGGAGCACAGGGCUUGCCUCCAGCACAUGCCAGGGACGAGCGCGGCAGCGCCAUUUUGUUUCCAGGAUUUCCCAAUGGUGUGGACGGGGACAACACGGGGACUCUUGCCUGGCUGCAGCAGGAUGAUGUUCCUGGGACAGAUGCUUGCUUAUAUCAUAGGGGCAAAAGAGUAAGUGCAUGCAUUCCUUAAUUUUUGCUAAUUGAUCGGAAAUGUCAAACAAAUAAAACUGGAGGGAGUGCUUGGCAAAAUUAUUAGAAUUCUUUUUGGGAAAAUGGAGUAGUAGUAAUCGCGGUCAUGAAGCAGAUACACAGAGCAGUGAAUAUCUGUGUUGGUUCUGUAGAAUAAUUUCUUUUAUGAUGCAUAUAAGGCAAGCUAAUGCAUGGUAAACUUGAAAAUGCUCUAUCUAUAUAAGCUUGCACUAUCCCAGAAGCGAUGGGUUGAAGAUGUUGACAUGGAGCACUGCAACAUUAUAAAAGAAAUCCAAUUGCACUAUCAUUGUUGACAAGCGUGUAGCAGGGAAAUCCAAUUGCACAUAAACUAACCACAUCAGUUGCCUUCAGUGUAUGCCUGUAUGGAAACAUGUAACAUGGUAUAUUGUGCUAUAUUUCAUGCCAUGGUUUUUAAACCGAUAAGCAUCCUGUGGCGCCUUCGGUACGCCUUAUUGCCUAGGCGACAAGGUAUGACUAGGCCUUUGAGGUGCCUUGGGUACGCCUUAUCACAUAGCUUCAUGCUGUGCUACUUGAUUUUCAAAGAAUCAGUUACUGUAAUUUUUCUCUAAAAUAUAUGUUGGUCCAUACAAGUUCAACCUAUUUUUUAUUCAUACUUCUACUGGGGCUCUGAACGCCUUGGUAGUUUUUACAUACCAGUAAUAUCUUUGCUCUAUAUCGACUUGUGUGUCUUGUUGGUUUUAAAACACCUUGUUUCUAUUUUUGCAAGCUAGGGGCAUGAAUUAUCUUCACUUAUUGUAGCCCUUCUAUUGUUCACUGUGACUUAAAUUCGUAAUUUAUUGUUUGGAAAGAAAUGGAUUGUAAAGGUAACCCCAAAAUUCAGUUUCUUAAAUUGCCGUAUUUUUCCUCAAAUUUGCGUUGUUCAAUCAGGUCACAGAAUCUGGUCUUUCAUGUCUGAAUCAUGAAAUGUUCCUGAGAAAACUGGACAAAGGAACUCCACAGAUCAGCGUGGAUGGCUCCGGAGGUGUUACAUCAUGAACCUUCGGAUGAAAAGUCUGGUUUCUACUGCUAUGGGGUUAUUAUGUUCCCACUUGUUACUCGGAAGAUACCCUGGGAUAAUGUCAAUAAAAUGCAGGUUAUUGGAGCUGUGAGUUUCUUGGAUCAAAGGCCGGACAUUCCAAGUGACACAGAUCCCUAAUGGGCAAUUGGACAUCCAUGAUCAAGAGUUGUUUGGAUAGUGACCCAGGGAAACGCCCUUCGUUUCUAGAGCUGCUGGACAGGCUUAGGGGCGGUUCGGUGCGGCUCCAGCUCCAGCUGCACCGCCAGCUCCGGGAGGAGCCUCAUCUCCAUUGGCGGCUCCAGCGGGUGGUUUUUGUGAGAACUGUGGCUCCGCCAGCUCCAGCUCCAGCUCCACCCUUCCAAAGAGCCCUUCCAAACGGGAUCUUAAGGGUGUACAAUAGCAGUACAGCUUGCAGUCUCAGAUACAGCGUCUGCGGAUGCUCUGCUGAAAUGUGGUGCUGCGAAGAUGAGCGUUGGAGAUUGCUGGCACCAACUCCAAAUGGAAUUGGGUGCUGCUGGUGUUGGACACCAGAUCAAGCAAGCAGGGUGGUUCAUGGGCGGCAUAACUCAGAAUCUAGAAGGCACAACGCAUCUUGGUCGGCUGCUUUCAGGAGGAGCUGUCGCCGGAGUCAAGUUGCAGCAUAGGAAGCUUCAACAUGAGCAUCAAACCUGAGAUGAGACUGACAGUGGUUUGCGGCAUUUUUUUUUGGGUAUGAACACCCAAUUCGCUAUGAGCACAAAAAGAAAAGGAUUGUUUGUAAAUUGUAUGUGCUGCAUUGAUAAUGAGCAGAGUGUAGAACCUAUAAAUCUUAUUCAUAAAACUAGCAGGGACUAAACCAAAUCAAUGAGCUUUUGCUUUCUAACAAGCCUCAGAACUACAAAAAUCAAACAAAUUACAUGAAUGAACAUAUACUCAUCAUUCGGCACAGAAUCCCAGAUUGGUCUGUCCUUGGAAGUUGGAACUGAAAUCAAAUCCAGUCCCAAUCAAUCAUAUCCAGUCCCAUUCGAGCUAGCCGUUCUUUUCCCAUUCAGGAUCCCUCUAUAAAAAGCUGACACCGCGUCUCGACGCCCAACUCACCACUCUUCCACCCGCCCGCCCCCGCCGCAACGAGUCGCUUGUUCGAUUUGUCCUCCUCUCCUCCUCGCCCGCCCGCCACGCCCGUCCCCAUCCCAUCCGAUCCGACCGAUCCGAUGGCAUCCACGGCCUCGCCGCCGGCAGCCAGUGAACUUGAUUCUUAUCUCACUGAAAUGGAGUCUGUUAACGACGGGGUUGUUUCUGCGGGGAAUGGCAAGGGGGUGCGCAUCCUCCCAGGAAGGAUCGUGGAUUCCACUUGGCUGUUCGAUUCGUGUGCUACCAACCACAUGACUGGCGACCUGAACCUUCUCACUGGCAUGGUACCUGUGAGCAACAAGGUUGUUGGCACAGGGAGUGGCAAGGGGAUGCAGGUGCAUGGCACUGGGUCUGUGUUAACAGAAGCGGUGGUGCUCCCUGACGUGUGGUACGUCCCUGGCCUCGCUGCGAGGCUGGUCUCGGUGACCCAGCUCACCAAUGACAACCCCAAUCUGUUCAUCAGGAUGCUUGGUACUGCGUGCCUUGUCACCAAGAUCAGUGAUGGAUCUGUUAUUGGUAGUGCGCAUUUGAGGUCUGACAACAAGUACGAGGUAGACUUCUUGAGAAUUCAGCAGAAUUAGGUGCCUUGUUUAGCAGAAUUGAGGCGUAGCUGCAGCUGUGUCACAUUACAUACUGAUUUGCUUCAGAUGGCUGUGCUUCCCGGGAAAUAAGUACAGGAUUGGGAGUCCUUUUUCCCUGUGGCAGGUGUAUAUCUAUAGAUGGCACAUUUCAAUCAAGUACUAUAUGGCAAGGUCUGGAUGAUUGUGAUAUGUCUAAUGUGUUUACUUGGUUUAAUUGAGGUCCUUUGAUGAUUCU